UAGGGAAUCUUCCACAAUGGACGCAAGUCUGAUGGAGCAACGCCGCGUGAGUGAAGAAGGUUUUCGGACCGUAAAGCUCUGUUGUUGGUGAAGAAGGAUAGAGGUAGUAACUGGCCUUUAUUUGACGGUAAUCAACCAGAAAGUCACGGCUAACUACGUGCCAGCAGCCGCGGUAAUACGUAGGUGGCAAGCGUUGUCCGGAUUUAUUGGGCGUAAAGCGAGCGCAGGCGGAAGAAUAAGUCUGAUGUGAAAGCCCUCGGCUUAACCGAGGAAUUGCAUCGGAAACUGUUUUUCUUGAGUGCAGAAGAGG
rnacentral:rRNA from 1 species